rnacentral:rRNA from 1 species
CAAUAGCGUAUAUUAAAGUUGUUGCAGUUAAAAAGCUCGUAGUUGGAUUUCUGGAAAUGGCGACCGGUCCGUGCCUUCUGGGCAUGUGUACUUGUGCGCUGUCUCCAUUUUCGCGGGGAGGCGUCUGGCGUGAGAGCGUCGGGCGUGGAUCCGCGUCGUUUACUGUGAAAAAAUUAGAGUGUUUAAAGCAGGCAUAUGCCUUGAAUACAUUAGCAUGGAAUAAUAAGAUAGGACUUUGGCCUAUUUUGUUGGUUAUUAUGCCAGAGUAAUGAUUAAUAGGGAUAGUUGGGGGUAUUCAUAUUUCAUUGUCAGAGGUGAAAUUCUUGGAUUUAUGAAAGAUGAACUACUGCGAAAGCAUUUACCAAGGAUGUUUUCAUUAA